AGAGUUUGAUCAUGGCUCAGGACUAACGCUGGCGGCGUGCUUAAAACAUGCAAGUCGAACGGGCGAUUGAGGAAAGCUUGCUUUUCUCGAGAGCUAGUGGCGGACGGGUGAGUAACGCGUGAACAAUCUGCCUUUCACUGGGGAAUAACAGAUAGAAAUAUUUGCUAAUACCGCAUAUGACCACAACGAGGCAUCUCGAAGGGGUGAAAGAUUUUAUCGGUGAAAGAUGAGUUCGCGUAACAUUAGCUUGUUGGUGAGGUAACGGCCCACCAAGGCGACGAUGUUUAGCCGGCCUGAGAGGGUGAACGGCCACACUGGAACUGAGACACGGUCCAGACUCCUACGGGAGGCAGCAGUUAGGAAUAUUGGGCAAUGGGGGAAACCCUGACCCAGCAACGCCGCGUGAAGGAUGAAGGUCCUCGGAUUGUAAACUUCUGUUAUAAAGGAAUAAGAAAGUGAAGGUACUUUAUGAGAAAGCACCGGCUAACUAUGUGCCAGCAGCCGCGGUAAUACAUAGGGUGCAAGCGUUGUCCGGAAUCAUUGGGCGUAAAGGGAGUGUAGGUGGUUUUGUAAGUUAAAUGUGAAAUCCUAUGGCUUAACCAUAGAACUGCAUUUAAUACUGCAUGGCUAGAGUGUGGAAGAGGAAAUUGGAAUUCCUAGUGUAGCGGUGAAAUGCGUAGAUAUUAGGAGGAACACCAGCGGCGAAGGCGGAUUUCUGGGACACAACUGACACUGAGACUCGAAAGCGUGGGGAGCAAACAGGAUUAGAUACCCUGGUAGUCCACGCCCUAAACGAUGGAUACUAGACGAAGGAGGUAUCGACUCCUCCUGUGUCGUAGCUAACGCGUUAAGUAUCCCGCCUGAGUAGUACGGCCGCAAGGUUGAAACUCAAAGGAAUUGACGGGGACCCGCACAAGCAGAGGAGCGUGCCAUUUAAUUCGACGAUACUCGAAAAACCUUACCAAGGCUUGACAUCGGAUGAAUAGCGUGGAAACACGUGAAGUUAUAGCAAUAUGACAUCCAGACAGAUGAUGCAUGGUUGUCGUCAGCUCGUGUCGUGAGAUGUUGGGUUAAGUCCCACAACGAGCGCAACCCUCGCUAGAAGUUACCAUCAUUCAGUUGGGGACUCUUCUAGGACUGCCGUGGAUAACACGGAGGAAGGUGGGGAUGACGUCAAAUCAUCACGUCUCUUACGUCUUGGGCUAUCGGCGCGCUACAAUGGCUAUUACAAAUUGUCGCAAUACCGUAAGGUGGAGCUAAUCACAAAAAAAUAGUCUCAGUUCGGAUUGUGGGCUGCAACCCGCCCACAUGAAGUUGGAUUUGCUAGUAAUCCCAAAUCAGCAUGUCGGGGUGAAUGCGUUCCCGGGUCUUGUACACACCGCCCGUCACGCCAUGGGAGCCAGGAGUACCCAAAGUCAGUGGCCUAACCGCAAGGAGGGAGCUGCCUAAGGUAAUACUGGUGACUGGGGUGAAGUCGUAACAAGGUAACC
rnacentral:rRNA from 1 species